rnacentral:rRNA from 1 species
GUGUCAGCAGCCGCGGUAAUACAGAGGGUGCGAGCGUUAAUCGGAUUUACUGGGCGUAAAGCGUGCGUAGGCGGCCAUUUAAGUCAAAUGUGAAAUCCCCGAGCUUAACUUGGGAAUUGCAUUCGAUACUGGAUGGCUAGAGUAUGGGAGAGGAUGGUAGAAUUCCAGGUGUAGCGGUGAAAUGCGUAGAGAUCUGGAGGAAUACCGAUGGCGAAGGCAGCCAUCUGGCCUAAUACCGACGCUGAGGUACGAAAGCAUGGGGAGCAAACAGGAUUAGAAACC